rnacentral:rRNA from 1 species
ACUGUUUCGGCAAGGGGGUCAUCCCGACUUACCAACCCGAUGCAAACUGCGAAUACCGGAGAAUGUUAUUACGGGAGACACACGGCGGGUGCUAACGUCCGUCGUGAAGAGGGAAACAACCCAGACCGCCAGCUAAGGUCCCAAAGUCAUGGUUAAGUGGGAAACGAUGUGGGAAGGCCCAGACAGCCAGGAUGUUGGCUUAGAAGCAGCCAUCAUUUAAAGAAAGCGUAAUAGCUCACUGGUCGAGUCGGCCUGCGCGGAAGAUGUAACGGGGCUAA